CCUACGGGUGGCAGCAGUGGGGAAUAUUGGACAAUGGGCGAAAGCCUGAUCCAGCCAUGCCGCGUGUGUGAAGAAGGCCUUCGGGUUGUAAAGCACUUUCAGUGGGGAAGAAAGCCUUGGGGCUAAUACCCUCGAGGAAGGACAUCACCCACAGAAGAAGCACCGGCUAACUCCGUGCCAGCAGCCGCGGUAAUACGGAGGGUGCGAGCGUUAAUCGGAAUUACUGGGCGUAAAGCGCGCGUAGGCGGUCUAAUAAGCCGGUUGUGAAAGCCCCGGGCUCAACCUGGGAACGGCAUCCGGAACUGUCAGGCUAGGGUGCAGGAGAGGAAGGUAGAAUUCCCGGUGUAGCGGUGAAAUGCGUAGAGAUCGGGAGGAAUACCAGUGGCGAAGGCGGCCUUCUGGACUGACACUGACGCUGAGGUGCGAAAGCGUGGGUAGCAAACAGGAUUAGAUACCCGAGUAGUC
rnacentral:rRNA from 1 species